GGGCUCCUCCUUCCCAAACCCUCUUUCUCUUACCCGACCUCUCCCGGCGUUGGGGGUAGGGAAAGGGCGAAGGUGGGUUCGGCCGGAUUUUCUCUGCGCGUUCCAGGCAGGCAGGGUUCUGCCGAGCAGCCAACCAGGGCAGAGAUGGAGCCCAACUUGGACCCGCUCUCUCGCAAUUUGCAGGUUGGAGCAUGUAUCAACCCAUAGCCACAGGAUGGCAGUGUUUCCUAAUGAGAAAGCAUCUGGCUAGAAAAAAGAGAAGAAAAACAGUUCAAAAGUUGUGAAACUAAAGAACGCAGACAGACUUUCAGCGGCAGACCAUGGUAAGAGACUUAGAACAAAGUCUGAAGACGAUCUGUGCUCCAUGGUCACCACUGUAACUCAGGGCAACUUGACGAGACUCCGCAGCAUUGUUUCCCUUUGCCAGGUGGCUACUUCCGACUCAAAACGGAGCUAGCAAAUUCAAGGGGAGGCAGGGGCUCAUGAAGCCCAGGCUGAUCCCAAGUUCACUGUGUAGCCAAGAAUGACUUUGAACUUCUGCUACGUGCUGGGACCACAGUAUCCUUCUUGCUGUGGUAGCAGUCAUAUUGUUGCUGCUGUUCAACCAAGGCUGUGCCAUCUGAAGGUGAAACGUCUAUGGAAGGGAUCCCAGUAUGACCAUCCUCUUCUAUGUGCUAGAAAUGACACACCUCCUUGAUGAGUAGAGUCUGCCACGUAACCAUGAGAAUCAUUGCCCAACCCCACCAAAUGGCUGAUGGGUAGAAAAUACUUUGCAGUCCCCUAAAGGAGCACAUAUGGGACAAGUUCCUAAGAAGGCUUUGGUAUCAGUUGUGUGACAUUUGCUAUGAUGAUAAGGCACGAGGAUCCUGAAGACGACUCAGUGGAUAAAGACACGUGUCACCACCAUACAUGAUGACCUGAGCUUGAUCUGCUACACCCACAUGGUAGAAGGAGAAAACUGACUCCCACAAGCUCUCCUCUGACUACAUAUGUGUGCAUGCACACAUAAGUGUGUGUGGUGAAGGGAAGGCAUACAACUGUAGCUCAACUGUCUGCCCAGAAAGAACCUGCUCAUCUAAGGGACAAAUUGCAACAUGAAAAAUACGUUUGGAGUCUAUCCUUUUCAAUAGCCUCUUAAUUGGUAGGAAAUGUGGAAAAACAAGAGGAAAAAAGGGAAGGCAUUGACUUGCUGUUUCAUAGGAUGGGGCAUGUGAAGAAUAUAAGGGAAAGAGAAUACAAAUUAGAUCUGUGUUAAAUAGCCCCACUUGAGAUCCAAAAACACAGAACCCAUAGGAAAAAAUCUGACAGUGAAGAGGGGUAGGGGGACAGGAGAUACCCUUCAGGGCCAGCCUGUAAUACAGAGGAAGGGAAAACCCAUGAUUCAGCAAGCAGGUAGAGACCUUGAUAGUGGUCCAGAGCAGAAAACCACGAUAAUCAGAGACUACUCUGAACUGCUUUAGCUGGAAAAGACCAAAAAAUUAUACAGUGUCUCCAACCUUGGCUGGUGAGAAUAUGAGACAUGGGCGGGGGGUGGGGGGAGUCAGUCUGGAUGCUGUGGAAGCAAAGAGACUGAGUAAUACAGCUACUCCUUCAUCCUUGACUCAAAGAUUGUGUAUCUCAGACAACAUGAGAGAAAGCAGUCCUGUUGGCGAUACUUGCUUGUUACUGGUUGAGGUCCCUGGAGGAGGUUGCUCACGAAGCCCAGGCAAAUGUGACCAGCAGAACGGCAGCGACAACCCUAGAGCCUAUCAGAUUCAGGAAGCCGGAACGUGUAUGGCAAACAGCAGUACAGCCCUUCUCCUGGGCUGGCCUCAUAGCAGAUGGAACAGCACGAGCCAGACUUACUGGACCCUUCGGGAGUGAAGAUGUGUGGAGACAGUGCAGCAGCACCCAGGGUGAGGAAAUGGAAUAGCUAUGGAGAAUGACAGAAACCAAAAUCAGAUCACGCCUCUCAUCUGUGAUGCUGUAACCAGUAUUGCUCUUUUGAGGAAGCAGCUGAUGCAAAGUGAUGGAAUAUUUUCAUGCUGGCUUGGACCUUACUAACAUUAUUUUUUCUUUUUUUUUUCUUUUCUUUCUUUUUUGGUUUUUCGAGACAGGGUUUCUCUGUGUAGCUUUGGAGCGUGUCCUGGAACUCACUCUGUAGCCCAGGCUGGCCUCCAACUCUGCUUCCCGAAUGCUGGGAUUAAAGGCGUGCACCAUCACCACUGCCUGGCCUAACAUUAUUUUCUAACAUCAGUUUAGCUGACAGAUCCCAAGAUCAACUGGCACUCGCCUGAAAUGGUUGUUGGUGGGACGUCUGAGAUCCUGCCCACCCUUUGUGAAAAGGUUUCAUUAUUGGAUGCUCACCUCCAAGUGUUUUACCCGUUUAGACAAGCAUGGAAAGUGAUGAAGGUACCUAAUGGAGACGGUGGGGAACAGUCCACACAGGGACAAGGGCCGGGUACAGUGGUGCUAUUUGGGGGGGUUUAUGGUUGCCUAAGGUGUGACACCCAACAAGAUGAUUGACAAGAAUCCUACAACAACAGCUAGUGCCUGUAAGUUAAAAUAAUGGUUAAAGACUUUGAAUUAAGGUACCUUGUCUGGGUGGGAAAAGGCAUUCCCAGAAACUGUAAGAGUUUUUUGUUUGUUUGUUUGUUUUGAGACAGGAUUUCUCUGUGUAUCCCUGGCUAUCCUGUAACUUACUCUGUAGACCAGGCUGGCCUCAAACUCAGUCAUCUGCCUGCCUCUGCCUCCUGAGUGCUGGGAUUCAAGGUGUUCACCGCCACCAUCCAGUGCUGUAAGGUUAUUGAAUGAAAAUCUCAGUGGCAGAAAUGGGCCUCCAUCUUAUGAGAUGUUGAUCAGAGAUGCCCCCUGCUGAAGACUGGCUAUUGCCACUGUCUUUGGGUGCAUGCCAGAACUAGACUUCAAGACCCUGUUGCUGAAGACACCACACACUUUAGUUGCAAGAAAUGGGGAAAUCAGAUUGGAAUUGAACCCAGAGGGCCUUCUUUGCUCACUGGCUUUCGUGGUACCAGAAGGUACUCUGCAGACUUCCGGGGGAGGAUUGUCAUCUACAGUCUUGUUUGGUUAUGGACCCUGCAUGCUACACUAUGACAUGCCACGCAAGAUGUGCCCACGGGUCCAGUAGCAGUACAACUGUUACCAGUGCAACCCACGGCUUUCUAGUUGACUUUUUUUUUCAGAUUUACUUAUUAUGUGUAGUGUUCUGUCUGCACGCAUCCCUGCAGGCCAGAAGAGGGCGCCAGAUCUCAUUACAGAUGGUUGUGAGCCACCAUGUGGUUGCUGGGAAUUGAACUCAGGACCUUUAGAAGAACAGCCAGUGCUCUUAACCUCUGAACCAUCUCUCCAGCCCCCUCUAGUUGACUUUAAGGCCCCCUUUACAGGAAAUGACACGUGUUUGGUAUUGUAAGACAAAAAUCCCUAGUGGAGAAGUUAUUGCUGUUGUUUCCCGAAAUGGAUAUGAUAUGCCUGUCAAAUUGCCUUGUAAACAUUAUGUUUAGAUCCCUAGGUUAUUGCUCUUGUGGGUCUUGGCUGGAAGCUUCUUUAUAGAGUGGGUGGAGGUUACUAUUGAAAGUAUAAAUGACAAUUGCUGUGGUAGAGUGGAACAAUGCUCAGCUUUAAGUGGGGAAAAAUAAUCAUAUGUCCAUAUCACCUCCUCCAAGGCUCAGGAAACAUGGCAGAAGAGAGAGAGGAAAGAAUAUAAGAGCUGGAGAAAAGAGUGGAAUAUUGUGGAACUGUGUGCUCUGGACAUGACAGGACUGUUUCUAUCUUGGAAUCAUGUGGCUGUCUGCAUGAGACACUCACAUGACUGGGCCUACUAAUAUCCCCCAUGCGGAAGUGGGCAGAGCUCCCAAAGCUCACAAGGUGGCGUGAGUGGUGUUUGAGGGACUCGUGAGAUGUCUCAGGCUCCCAUCCUCCCUUGGGGAUACUCAAGUGGCUAAUAAUUGCUGAGAAGGGAGGCAUGUCUUUCAUGGUGUCACUCACCGAUUGCCCGUAUCCUGUAAAUAUCCUGUAAAUAACUCCAACUAAACUCAUCGUUUCACCAA